rnacentral:rRNA from 1 species
AGCAGCCGCGGUAAUUCCAGCUCCAAUAGCGUAUAUUAAAGUUGUUGCAGUUAAAAAGCUCGUAGUUGAAUUUCGGGAUCAAGGAAUCGGUCAUGCCUCGGUAUGUACUGGUUUUAUUGGUUCUCACCUUCUAAAGAACCAUGAUGUCAUUCAUUUGAUGUUAUGGGGAAUUAGGACUGUUACCUUGAAAAAAUUAGAGUGUUUAAAGCAGGCUUACGCUUGAAUACAUUAGCAUGGAAUAAUGAAAUAGGACAUCAGAUUCUAUUUUGUUGGUUUCUAGGAUCGAUGUAAUGAUUAAUAGGGAUAGUUGGGGGCAUUAGUAUUCAAUUGUCAGAGGUGAAAUUCUUGGAUUUAUUGAAGACUAACUACUGCGAAAGCAUUUGCCAAGGAUGUUUUCAUUAAUCAAGAACGAAAGUUAGGGGAUCGAAGACGAUCAGAUACCGUCGUAGUCUUAACCAUAAACUAUAGCCGACUAGGGAUCGG